GCCUCGGUGGUGUAGUGGUUAAAGCACGCGUCCCCGGAUAGGGUGAAACGCGUGUUCGAUUUCCGCUUGAGGCC